GUCCUGGAGGAGGGAGGGACGGCAUACACAACACAUCAAUCAAGGCUGAACUAAUUCACUAAAAUGAUUAAUCAGGUGUGAACUAAUUCAUUAAAAUGAUUAAUCAGGUGUGAACUGAUUAUCUAAACUGAUUAAUCAGCUGUGAACUAAUUAUCUAAACUGAUUAAAUGUGAAGCUGAAGGAUGUUUUUUCACCUGACGGAGGUGUUUAACAUCAAGGAUGUGUGUUUUAAGGUGAAGGAUGUGUUUUAAGGUGAAGGAGAUGCAUUAAAGAGAAGGUGUUUUAAGGUGAAGGAGGUGUUUUAAGGUGAAGGAUGUGUUUUAAGGUGAAGGAUGUCUAUUAAGGUGAAGGAGGUGUAUUAAGGUGAAGGAGGUGUAUUAAGGUGAAGGAGGUGCAUUAAGGUGAAGGAUGUGUAUUAAGGUGAAGGAGGUGUAUUAAGGUGAAGGAGGUGUUUGAGGGUGAAGGAUGUGUAUUAAGGUGAAGGAGGUGCAUUAAGGUGAAGGAGGUGUAUU